GACUAUGCCCUGACAGUUUGGCAGGGAGGGAAGUGGCUCAGAGGACUGGGAGCCGGGCAAUCUCCAGCACUGGCAGUGCGAGAGGCAGAGAGCAGAACUCGUCCGGAAAGGAAUAAAAACAAGCAGAACUGAGAAAAGAUAGCUUGUUCAAUUUGCCAACCUCCUGUCUCCCUGACAAUGAAAGAAGGAAUGGGAAGGUCUGAUGUGGUAUUUGAUGGAACUUCCGGGGGAUUUUAGUCCAUGCCAUCAACCUGCACCACUGAAAAUAUUCCUGCGAGCUGCAUGACUUGGGGGGAGUUUACUUCAUGGUUUUUGCACCCCAGUGUUCUCAUCUAUAAAAUGGGGACAAGAGCAGUCUUACUUCAUGGGAUUUUUGUGAGGAUUGAAUGAGCAGAGACGUGUAUAUCAAGUACCCAAGAGCACCCAGCACACAGUAAAGGCUUGGUGUUACGGGUCUGCCCUACAGACCGGAACUUUGAGAUCGUGGCUGAUGGCAGCUGGCUUUGUGUCCCAGUGGAGCAGAGGACAGACCACCAUGCUCAUCUUGUGAAUUUUAGUUUUUGCUGACUAAUGAUUUCCUUUUGUAUAAAGCCUCCUCUCCUCUCGCUUUUAAGACCACAAAGAGAACAUCUUCUUCCAUGGUGAGCAUUAUUUCUAACCUUCCUUCAAAGUGAAAUUACCAGAAGACUCGUGGAUUGUUACUGGCAAGUAAGUGUGAACGCCCUUGUGGAAGCUUGUACCUCUCACUGUAGACAGCACUGCUCAGGCUAAGUAUACCAGAAGCCAGGUACCUAACAUACGAGUCCUUUAACACGUCACAUCUCUUUUCAGGUUUCUUUUAUAUCUAAUACUGCAGG